rnacentral:lncRNA from 10 species
GUUUAACAGAGUUAAGAAGCCUCGUUUCUCAUCUUCCUCAAAAGUAUGUCAUAAAGAUCCCCGACAAGAGCAUCACUUAAAAAUCCAGCAGGGAAAAUGUGCAAAUAUCAAGGUUACCUGGGUCUGCUGGUCACUUCUAGUUUUUGGACUCUUGAAGAUGCCUCCAAAGUGCUUGCCAUUCAAGAAGCCUUCAUGCCCUCAGCUUUAUUGGGAGGGCAUCCUGGAAUGAACCCCACUGCGCAGGAGAGGCAAGGAAACUGUUCUUAGAAGAGGCCUGAAGAGAAACAUGACUGACUAGUCCACAGGGACCUCUGGAAUGAGAAGAACUGAGACAGAGAGGCUGGAGUAAAGGAGCAGCAGACCUCCAGACACAUGAUGAUAGUUACCCUUGCUGAUUUCACCCCUUUCUCCGGUCUUACUUCAUCCUUGUAGAUGGAGCCCCUAAGAUACAACACUUCAUCUUCUUGUUGGGAAAAAGCUGAGUGUUGGGAAAAAAAGCUGAGGCAGGGCUUGCAUGUCUGACAUAAUGUCCAGGGCUCAGUGCAUAAAACCCCUCGUGGCCUCUGGAAUGAGUCUAGACUUGCUGGCUCCUUGCUUCUAGCUUAAACUGGAAGAACAUGCUCCCUAUUAUCUCAAGUAGCAGAAUAUGUUCCAUAUGCUUCAAAGGAAAUGCUAAACUAUCACAGCUGUAGAUCAUGUGCUUGCCCUUUUGACCCACACAUUCUCACCACCUGUUUCUUU